GAGUUUGAUCCUGGCUCAGAUUGAACGCUGGCGGCAGGCCUAACACAUGCAAGUCGAGCGGUAGAGAGAAGCUUGCUUCUCUUGAGAGCGGCGGACGGGUGAGUAAUGCCUAGGAAUCUGCCUGGUAGUGGGGGAUAACGCUCGGAAACGGACGCUAAUACCGCAUACGUCCUACGGGAGAAAGCAGGGGACCUUCGGGCCUUGCGCUAUCAGAUGAGCCUAGGUCGGAUUAGCUAGUUGGUGAGGUAAUGGCUCACCAAGGCGACGAUCCGUAACUGGUCUGAGAGGAUGAUCAGUCACACUGGAACUGAGACACGGUCCAGACUCCUACGGGGGGCAGCAGUGGGGAAUAUUGGACAAUGGGCGAAAGCCUGAUCCAGCCAUGCCGCGUGUGUGAAGAAGGUCUUCGGAUUGUAAAGCACUUUAAGUUGGGAGGAAGGGCAGUAAAUUAAUACUUUGCUGUUUUGACGUUACCGACAGAAUAAGCACCGGCUAACUCUGUGCCAGCAGCCG
rnacentral:rRNA from 1 species